rnacentral:rRNA from 1 species
UACGAAGGGGGCUAGCGUUACUCGGAUUGACUGGGCGUAAAGGGCGCGUAGGCGGCUUGUACAGUCAGACGUGAAAUUCCUGGGCUCAACCUGGGGGCUGCGUUUGAUACGUGCGGGCUUGAGUUCGGAAGAGGGUAGUGGAAUUCCCAGUGUAGAGGUGAAAUUCGUAGAUAUUGGGAAGAACACCGGUGGCGAAGGCGGCGACCUGGUCCGAUACUGACGCUGAGGCGCGAAAGCGUGGGGAGCAAACAGG